UUUUUGGAGAGUUUGAUCCUGGCUCAGGACGAACGCUGGCGGCGUGCUUAACACAUGCAAGUCGAACGAUGAAGCCCUUCGGGGUGGAUUAGUGGCGAACGGGUGAG
rnacentral:rRNA from 1 species